UCCUUUGUCUCUAAUUCAACUAUUGGCAUCCAAUUCACAUAAUAAAAUCAUACACAACCAACUAAUUAUACAAACUAACUAUUUUACUAACUAAUUUUUCGAAAGUUUCAAUUUUCUUUGAUUUCAAUACAUUUAUUACAAAAGAUGUCAAUUCCCAUGGUUACAUUUGCCAAUUUUCAGUCAAGCAAAUUAACACACCAUUUCGAUUUUAUCAUGUAUUUCAUAAAAACAUAAUACAUAUUAUACAUACGUUGAUUGCUUGCUUGAUGCUUGAUUUUAAUUCUAUUAUCCUUUAAAGCUUAAUUCCAGCUGUCCAAUUUAACUCUUGAAGCUUCAAUUUCUUUAUUUAGCCGAACAAAAUGGGAUGGAAUUAGGAACGAAUGGAGUUGAAAUUGGGAGAGGAGGGUGGCGGGUGGGACUUAGACUGGGCAGGGGAGUGGCAGGUGGAACUUUGGCAAGGAAGGGAACGAAAAUGAGAUGGGGUUUUAGAUUUAUAAGGAUUCCUUCCUUGCUUCCCACAAAAUUUUCUCGCUCCCCAAACAUUUUGCUCGCUCAAUACUCCGUCCUUGCUCCUUACGAAAUGAUGGCCAGCUCCGGUUUUCUUUUGUGUGAAGGUUACCCAGCUUGCUUAUUUGUUUCUUAUUUCCCCGACUUUCUUUUUUUAAUUCC
rnacentral:lncRNA from 1 species